rnacentral:lncRNA from 1 species
CUCAAAGACAAGAACAAAUCACUCGGUGUUUGACGCGCAGUGCAUUGAAAGUGUUUUCUUACCAGUCUGGUUGGAAAGAAAAGAUUCAAGAGGAAUCAAAACAAAGCAACUGUUGUUAAGUUAGAGAAAAUUUUAGAGAUUUGCUGUAAACAAAAUUUCAUUGGCCUUCAGGAGGUCGUCUUCUUUAUAAUCAAUGAAUCGGCAAGCAAAUUUAUAUGGGCUAAGGUUUGAGGGUGGAAUCGAAGAAAUGGGGUUAUGUUGCUGCUUGCAAAAGCUAGGUCAAGGACAGAAUACUUUUUCCGGAACCAGCGGAACCGGUAUUUCACCAUGUUUGGAGGAAUGUGUCAAAACCUUCUAGUUGCAUUGUAGCGGUUUCGGCAGGUUUGUCAUCCGAGAUCGCAGCAGGAGUUGUUUUGGAGGAACCAUCUCGAUCCCAUUACGGACAUCACGGGAAACUUCGGCGGUAGUAGGUUCAACAGCGUCGGCGAUCUUGAUGGCAUCGAUUGCCGAUUGAAUCUUUUGGAUGUUUAUCACUAAUUUCCGGAGCAGGACCUCGUCUCGUGACUGUUGGUAAAAAUU